CAGUAGCCGCGGUAAUACGUAGGGUGCAAGCGUUAAUCGGAAUUACUGGGCGUAAAGCGUGCGCAGGCGGUUAUAUAAGACAGAUGUGAAAUCCCCGGGCUCAACCUGGGAACUGCAUUUGUGACUGUAUAGCUAGAGUACGGCAGAGGGGGAUGGAAUUCCGCGUGUAGCAGUGAAAUGCGUAGAUAUGCGGAGGAACACCGAUGGCGAAGGCAAUCCCCUGGGCCUGUACUGACGCUCAUGCACGAAAGCGUGGGGAGCAAACAGGAUUAGAGAUCCCGGUAGUCCCUGUCUCUUAUAC
rnacentral:rRNA from 1 species